rnacentral:rRNA from 1 species
UUGWAAAGAAYUUUGGAGAGAGAGUCAAAGAGMCCGUGAAACCGUUGGGAGGGAAGCGAAUGGGUCCAUGACGACUCCACUCAGGUUCAGGGUGUGCRGAGUGCGGCCUUGCCACGUCUGGGAGYUCUGUCGAGAGUCGAUUCGCGGUAGAGCUGCCUCGGCGCAUCUGCAAUCUCGUUUGGAGUCCGCCAACGGCGGUCGACGGUGUCCCAACAGGGCAGGGGGGAGGUAAUUCCGGCUUCUCCGGAAGGCGGAGUACGUAUAGCCCACCCGGUUCGGAAGGGCACCGUCGUCCGAGGUGUGUUGCCUAACUUGGCACGUUGCGGUGCAGGCUCUCAAAGUUUCAGUGGGCCGGCUCGCUCGUGGGUUCGCGUGCUUCGCGGCGGAGCGCUGGUCUCAGUGCCCGUCGACGACAGAGUCGCGCUUGCCGGGCGAGGUCGAGCACGAUGUGUACCGUAGUCGUUGGG